AUGGGGUGCCUUUAUGUAACAUAAUAAGCUGACGAUGUACACUGAAAAAAAACCCGCAGUUAAAUCAAAUACUUUUUGCAGUUAAAGUACAGUAAAACAAAAGUAUUUGUUUCAACAGCAAAACUCUUGACGGAAAUACUUUGCUCUUGAUUCAAAUACUUUUUUUAAAUGCGGCACUUUUGAAUUAAAAGCGGCUGUGCUUUUAAAAAUCAUCUUAUUAAAAUCUAAAAAAAAAUAGUUGUUUUAAAGGUUUCGUAUUUAAUUUUCUUUGAUUACAGUUUUUUAAAUGUAAAAGUAUUUGUCACAACCAUUUCGCAUUUAAUUUUACUGUUUCUCCAUACGAUGACAGAGAAGUUGACGCUUACAUUUUUCCAUCGAUCAUUCUAACAGAAACACGUGUUGCGUGCGCAAACACUUUAAUUUGGGUUUUAUAGUGAAGCUGCGCAAAAGGAGCUUAUAUAGUUUGCAUUUGCAUUAGUGUGCCUGCCGCAUCGCCCGCUGCUUACGGAGGCUGUUUAAAAGGGACUUCCACAGAUUUUUUUUAUAUAAAAGACGACAUUUGCGAAAAGUCUACUCUGCAGGUAUGUUAUGGUUUAUAUACACAUUUAUUUCAACAAAAAUAUGUGUUUAAAAACAAUUUUUGUGCAUUUUAGUUUACACUAUGAGUAAGGAGUUGAUACCAUCAACUGCGCUGUCGUUAUUUGCCGAGCAAUGUCCGUUGGGAGAUGAGUCCCCUACAACGGAAAAUGUCGACAAUGAGUCCGUAGUAAUUUUGGAUAGUGAUGAACAGUUAAUUAAUUUAUUGUGUUCGUGGGAUUUGUCGUCAAAUGCAUUGAUACAGUUCAGUAGAUGUGGUUUAAAGAGUGUAGAAAUUUUGCAGAUGAUCCAUUCCCAUGACAUUGACGAAAUUUUUAAUGCCAGAGAACUAAUUGCGGACAAAAUUAAGUUCCGGUACAACUUGCAAAAAUGGUGUUUAGAAAAUAAUUUCGAUAUGCUCACGUGCUGUAGUGGUGAUAGAACUAUAUAGUAUUACGACGCCAUGCUUGGAGCACUUGUUGCAGAUUGCAGGCAUUAUUAUCUUAUAAACUUACUACAUGCAGUAAUAACACUGCCGAGAGUAAAUAAAAACAUAAAGCCCUCCAUUACAGAUGCACAAAUGGAUAUGAUGGUGCAUCUUAUAAAUAUUAAUAACUUCCAGCAAAAACUUGACGAGCUAAAUGAAAGCGCUCACAACGAGGGAUUAACACUGCAACCUAGAGUUUUUGUUGUUGGUGAGAGUCCUCAAAACUUGAAGGAAUUCUAUGUCUGUGUUGACAACAUUAAAUAUAAAGUAGGUAGCUUAAUUAGGGCUAUAGAUUUAGUUGUAAAAAUGUCUUUUGUAUUCAACAUUGAUUAUUCCGUAAAGAGCAAAUGUGUGUGGAUUUUCCUUCAACGAUAUAUUUAUGAUAUUUCCUCUAAGGAAAAAUUUCCCAAAAUUGAAAAUAUUUUAAACAAGCUAAAUAAUGUUCAAUAAAAAUGCACUUGAAGAAAGACCCACACAUACUUGCUCUAUAUGCGGAAAUGAAUUUAUAUUAUUUGAAAAUCUUUUUAACCAUCUUAAGAUUUUACAUCGAACUCCAAUUACUUUUAAGUAUUCAUGCCUUUAUCAGAAAUGAAAUAGAUAUUUUCAAAACUUGUAUAAGUUUCGAAAUCACGCAAGCAAGCAUGAUUUUAAUAGUAAUCUUAA